rnacentral:rRNA from 1 species
AUUGAACGCUAGCGGGAUGCUUUACACAUGCAAGUCGAACGAGUGGCGGACGGGUGAGUAAUAUAUCGGAACGUGCCCGAUAGAGGGGGAUAACUACUCGAAAGAGUAGCUAAUACCGCAUACUAUCGGAGCGGCCCAUAUCGGAUUAGCUAGUGGGUGGGGUAAAGGCUCACCAAGGCAACGAUCCCUAGCUGGUUUGAGAGGAUGACCAGCCACACUGGGACUGAGACACGGCCCAGACUCCUACGGGAGGCAGCAGUGGGGAAUAUUGGACAAUGGGCGAAAGCCUGAUGCAGCCAUCCCGCGUGUAUGAGAAGGCCUUCGGGUUGUAAAGUACUUUUGGCAGAGAGGCGGUAUCCGCAGAAUAAGCACCGGCUAACUCCGUGCCAGCAGCCGCGGUAAUUC